rnacentral:rRNA from 1 species
UACGUAGGGGGGCUAGCGUUGUCCGGAAUCAUUGGGCGUAAAGCGCGUGUAGGCGGCCCGGUAAGUCCGCUGUGAAAGUCGAGGGCUCAACCCUCGAAUGCCGGUGGAUACUGUCGGGCUAGAGUACGGAAGAGGCGAGUGGAAUUCCUGGUGUAGCGGUGAAAUGCGCAGAUAUCAGGAGGAACACCCAUUGCGAAGGCAGCUCGCUGGGACGUUACUGACGCUGAGACGCGAAAGCGUGGGGGAGCAAACAGG